UAGGGAAUCUUCCACAAUGGGCGAAAGCCUGAUGGAGCAACGCCGCGUGUGUGAUGAAGGGUUUCGGCUCGUAUAACACUGUUGUAAGAGAAGAAUGACAUUGAGAGUAACUGUUCAAUGUGUGACGGUAUCUUACCAGAAAGGAACGGCUAAAUACGUGCCAG
rnacentral:rRNA from 1 species